UACGUAGGGGGCAAGCGUUGUCCGGAAUCAUUGGGCGUAAAGCGCGUGUAGGCGGUUCGGUAAGUCUGCUGUGAAAGUCCAGGGCUCAACCCUGGGAUGCCGGUGGAUACUGUCGGACUAGAGUACGGAAGAGGCGAGUGGAAUUCCCGGUGUAGCGGUGAAAUGCGCAGAUAUCGGGAGGAACACCAAUUGCGAAGGCAGCUCGCUGGGACGUCACUGACGCUGAGACGCGAAAGCGUGGGUAGCAAACAGG
rnacentral:rRNA from 1 species